rnacentral:rRNA from 1 species
UACAGAGGGUGCGAGCGUUAAUCGGAAUUACUGGGCGUAAAGCGUGCGUAGGUGGUUUUUUAAGUCCGUUGUGAAAGCCCUGGGCUCAACCUGGGAAUGGCAGUGGAUACUGGAAAGCUAGAGUGCGGUAGAGGGUAGUGGAAUUCCCGGUGUAGCAGUGAAAUGCGUAGAGAUCGGGAGGAACACCAGUGGCGAAGGCGGCUACCUGGACCAGCACUGACACUGAGGCACGAAAGCGUGGGGAGCAAACAGGAUAGAAACCCGAGU